rnacentral:lncRNA from 1 species
UGUAUAGGAUUAUUUGGAUUUUAUUGACAAUGCCUGUUUCAUCGGCAACUAGUGAAAGAUCCUUCAGCGCGAUGAGACGCGUCAAAUCCUACCUGAGAUCGACAAUGGGAGACGAGCGACUUUCAAAUCUAUCUCUUCUUCAUAUCCACCGACACCACAAUGUUGAUGUUGAUGCGAGUAUAACUGAUUUUAUCGGCAGAAAAAACCGUCGACUUGACUUUGAGUAAAUGUAUCAUUGUCUUUGUGUAUGAAACUGGAUCUGAAAGUCAUUCAUAACAGUUCAGAAGUAUUAAAUUUGUUUAACCAAUUUUUGCCAAAAUUUGAGUUAAAAGAUUCGUUCAAAAAAGAUGAAAAUCUUUUCCUUUAACCCUCUGUGGGCCUUAAUCUAAAACUAGUCUGAUCUACACU